rnacentral:rRNA from 1 species
UACGUAGGUGGCAAGCGUUGUCCGGAAUCAUUGGGCGUAAAGAGCGCGUAGGCGGCCCGGUAAGUCCGCUGUAAAAGUCCAGGGCUCAACCCUGGAAAGCCGGUGGAUACUGUCGGGCUUGAGUCCGGAAGAGGCGAGUGGAAUUCCUGGUGUAGCGGUGAAAUGCGCAGAUAUCAGGAGGAACACCAAUGGCGAAGGCAGCUCGCUGGGACGGUACUGACGCUGAGACGCGAAAGCGUGGGGAGCAAACAGG